GAAAGUUAAUGAUGAGGUUCAGGUCAUGCUUGUCAUUUGCCCAGUUACUCAACACAUUCGGCUAUUACUCUACAAAAAAUAUUUUGAGGGCCAGUCAUGUUGGUAGAGCUGUUGGCAAGACACCACUUUAUGCCCUGGGCAGCCACAUUUGGCUUAUCCAGGUCUGAGCACCCAGCUUUGAAAAGGUCACAUUGGUCAUAGGGAUGAUGUUCAGAGACAAGUGGCCCAGGGCAGAGGAGACCUGCGUUUCAUGGCAGAAGGAGAGUGUCUGAAACAGAGGAGAAAAGACCAUGAGAUGCCAUGACUGCUGUCUUCUCAUACUGGAAGGCCUAUCACAUGGAAGAGGGAAUCAUUCUGAGCCAGAGGAGUGGCUGUCAGCUAAGAAUAUAGGAGAACUCCCAGCAAUGAGGUCUGCUUACCAACAGGACAGUCUAUCUUUACUCAAGCAAGAAAUAAAUGAUGACAGAAAAGAGAUGCCUUCAUUUGGUAAAAGAGGCUGGAUUUAAUUUAAUGAAAUUAUUUCACUGAGUCCCUCACACGUAAGAAUUCCAAGGACUCUGCCCUGAAGCAACUUACAGCCUAGCCAGGGGGAUGAGGAAGGUGCACAGACACACUAAUAUGGAAAAAGGUGCAAUGCAGUCAGAUCGUGCAGAGGUGGCAACAGGACUUUUGUCUGCCUGGGUUUGACUCUUUACUUUCUGCCUGCUUUGAUUGGUUGUGCCUCAGAGUCCUCAUCUGUAAAGUGAGACCAUAGUGCCAACAACCACAUGGGCAUUCAGCACAGGGGUCCGCACAAGGAAAGUGCUCAUUAAAUCCUAGUGAUUACUGUUGCUAGAAAAGAGAGAGUCCAUGGGGUGUGCCAGGCUCAGGGUUUCUGACCCUACAAAGGCCGGCAGGGAGCUGAGGAGGUGGGGAGAAAGCAGGAAAGGCUUCAGUAGCGAAGCCCUGGAAACAGGUUUUCCUCACAGUCCAUCAUGCUUCCAAUUUCAGGACUGAUGCUGAUUGUUUUGCAGACUCAUCCAUCCCAAACAAAUUCCUGCAAACCCAAGUUAAUCUGAACAGCAUGUGGAGAGCUUCUGGGGCUUCAGCUGCUAACGGGUGAAGUGCUGAGAUGCUUGGGUGAUAAUGGAUCCAUCUCCCAGAAGGACUUUUCUGGAGGAGACCAAGGAAAGAAGGGGUAAAGCUGGGUAAGUUACGAUGGGCUGGGGAUGGGGCACAGGUGGCUGCCUCUCCCUGGUAGCACUCUGCUCUGAUGCAGCAUUUGCUAAGGUGCCUGGUGUGGGAGGCGUGCUGAGAUGAGGAUUUCCACUGCAAUCUAACUUUAGGUUUUCCCCUGGCUUUAGGCUUUCUCCCCUACUUAUUUACCUAUGCUCUGUGAUUUGUCUCUCACCACUGCAGAAUACUUAUUAAUAAAAAUCCUGACAGUUCCUGUAAUCAAGAGUUAAAUUCUUUCAGCUCUGAGAGCAAAAGCACCUUUGGAUUUUUUUUCCUUUGGGCUCCUGAAGUAGUUUCCAGAAACCUGGGUCUGUUCCAGGAGAGCAGACCCUGGUGGGUGUUGACAUCAUGAUAUUUAAAAAAGUGAAUAACAUCUAUUUAAUUGUCUUAACAAUUUUAUGAGAUAAAUACUAUUAUGAGGAAACAGGCACAGAGAGAUAAAGAAACUUGUUAGAGGUCACACCGUAAUGACCGAAGCUGGGUGUGGGCCCAGGUGGCCUUGUCCAGGUCAUUCCACUGUGGCAGAUGCUGUCAGUGUCUCACCUGUACCUCCUGCCUGAGGGCUUUCUCUGGCCACUACAGUGCUUGGGCCAUGUGCAGCCUGGACAGAGGUUCUGGGGAGUCAUGGCCCUGGAACACCCCUCAACUAGUGAUGGACAGGAGGUGGUGGACUGAUACCCAGCUCUCUUGGACUCCUGGGUUGGAGAAUUUUAAGGUGUCUUUCUGUGUCACCUCCCAGAGGUCCCCAGUGGGACUGAGCCACUUUCUGCAGUAACAACCUGAUCACCGGCAUACUUUCCCCCUUCUACUCCUCCAUUUCCCUUCUUCCCUACAGUUACUUUCUGGGGUCUCCUUUCAGGAAAAUGAUUUGCACAAAGGUCGUUGACUCAGAGUCUGCUUCUGGGGAAACCCAGCCUAAGACAUAGACUGGGCCAGUCUUUUCUAUGUCUGGCUUAUAUAGUUUUAAUAUUUCAUGUUUAAAUUAGCCGAUUCUCUUUAAAUUCUAAGCAGGUGAUCUUAGAAUUGUCUAUGGUAAAUCACAAAAAUGGUCACAAAUUACGUAGCUUGUUGUUGGCCAUAGGAUAUCAGCCGAAAAUGACACAAGCAGAGACUUGAGAAGCACUUGUCAUUGCAGCUCGCUCUCUUGCUGCUGUUAGAACCCUGAGGUCACUGCGUGAAUGAGCCUGAGCUCGUCUGUUGAGGACAAGAGGCCACAAGGAGGGGAACUGGCCUCCAGCCUGCCAAUUGUCUGUGUGAGGCCAUCCUAAACCAUCCAGCUGUUAUGGACCCACUGCCAAUGAGAUUGUCCCGCAGAGAUCAGCCAACCUAAUCUGGACCAGAACCAUCCAGCUGACCACAGAGUCAUGAGAAAUAAUAAAGGCGUGUUGCUUUUAAGCCAUUUCUCUCAUUCAUCCCUGAGGCUUCAAUACCUGCUGACACAGCUAGGCUCUGCCACACAGCUAGCCUGGAUGCCUCAUCUGAGAGACAAAAGUAAAACAUAUGUUUGAUAAAGGGUUAAUAUCCAAAAUAUGUUGGAAACACAUACAACUCAAUAGCAAUCUACCAACCAAACAAAUCUGAUUUAAAAAUGGGCAAAUGACCUCAACAGACAUUUUUCUAAGGAAGACAUGCAAGUGGCCAACAAGUACAAGAAAAGGUACCCAAUAUCAUUAACCAUCAGGGAAAAGCAAAUCAAAAACCAUAAUGAAAUAUCACCUCACACUUGGUGAGUUGGCUGUUACCAAAAAGACAAAAGAUAAGAAGGAUGUGGGGCAAGCACAUGGAGAAAAGGGGACGCUUGCGCACUGAUCAUGGGAAUGUACAUUUGUACAGCUAUUAUGGAAAACAGUAUGGAAGGUCCUAAAAAAUAGAACUACCAUAUGAUCUGCAAUCCCACUUCUGGGUAUACACCCAAAAGAAAAAAAUCAAAGAUAUAUCUGCACUCCCAUGGCUAUUGCAGCAUCAUUCACUAUGGCCACGUUAUGGAAUCAACAACCUAAGUGUCUAGCAAUGGGUGAAUGGAUAUAGGGAAUGUGGUAUUUAUAUAUGAUGGAAUAUUAUUCAGCCACACAAGAAGGAAAUCCUGCCACGUGUGAUAACACGGAUGAACCCCAAAAAGACUGCUAAGUGAAGUAAACCAUUUAGUUACUUUUUUUGUGGAGAGACACUUAAGAUCUCUCUUAAAUCUCAAGUAGACCAUGCAAUAUUAUUAACUAUAGUCACCAUUAUUCUCAUAACUGAUGGUUUAUGCCAUUUGACCAACUUCUCCCUAUUUUCCCCACCCUUCAGUCCCUGGUAACCACUGUCUGCUCUUUGUUUCUGUGAGUUUGACUUCUUGAAAUUCCAUAAUAUAAGUGAGAUCAAGCAGUAUGUUUCUUUCUGUGUCUGGCUUAUUCACAGAUCAGGAAGCUGACUUAGAGAUACAAUGUGACUUAAGUAAGGCCAAGUGGCUCUUGAGCGGUGGAAAUCGAAUCUGGUCCUCAGGUCUGUACACUUACCCACUGCUCUAUGCUGCCUGCCAUGACUUCUAGUGCCUCUUUCUCUUCCUGGAAUUCUCUAAGCACCCAGCCUGGCCCUUCUGUCUCCUUUGUACCUGCUUAUCCCAUUACUCAAAGGUCAAGAUCAUGGGAUGCAUCUGUGAGCAUCUGUGAAGUUCUGGGAAUUUCCAUGUGCUUGAGGGAUCCAGUGGCUGUUAUCAUCUGUGGUGCCUGAGAACUGGGAAGAAAAGACAGAAAUGGAAUGAGUGAUGUCACCGAAUGCUUGCUUAAUGUCUGCCCAUGUUCACAGCUCAGGAUGAGGACUUUUAGUUGACUAACAGCUUCGAUUUCCAGAAUAAAAUAUCUAGUGAUUGUUUGAACUGCGAAAUCCUCAUUAUGUGAAAUGCCAAUUCGAAGCCCCAGCGUGUUACCUUCUCCUGGACAGUAAUGCUUCUGAACAGAAAGGGCAUCUUACUCGAAGUGAGCAUGCAAUUAGUCUUGACAAAAGAAUUGAAAAUGAAAUCCUAAUUUGUGCUGUGUUUAUCGAUCUGCACUGCUGUCUUUGCUGCAGCCUUGGAGCUUGUCUCCAUCAGCACCUUCUUCCCAGGGACAGCUCUUUUUAUGUUGAACAUGGUCAGGCCUAAUUGGAGUCUUGCUGUUGGUCUCCCAGAGCUUCAGGAAUCUCAGUUCAGCCUCAGUUGGAACAAGGGAGUUGGGUUACCCCAACAGUACUUUGGAAAAUGAAUCAUGGUGGUUGCCGAUAUUUUCGUUGGCAUUUUUUCAGAAAGAGCCAGUGCCAUGGCACUAGGAAGGGCCCCUGCUGAAUAGCAAAGGAGGAGGCAGUCCUUGUAGAGAGACCAGGCGGUAGGACAAAGUUAGGGUUUGCUUUAUGGUUUCCCCUUCCCUCUGUUUCUAGAACUCACACAGAGAGUUUGGACCCCUGAAAGUGAUUAUUCUUUUGCUUGGGAUGAUUUUCCCAGCAUGUGCAUAACUGACUGUGUCUCAUUAUUCAGGUCUCUGCGCAAGUGUUGCAUCCUCAAAGAGGGCUUCUCUGGCAGUCCUAUAUAAAGUGUCUCUACUUUCCUGGGCAUUCUUGUUCAUACUUUCUCAUUUUAUUUACUCAUGUAAUUUGUUAUUCUGUAAAAUUACCUCAUUUAUUUUAUGUCUCUCCAGCUAGAAUAUAUGUUCCAUGAGGUCAGAGACUCGGUUUUGUUUUCUGCUGUCUGCUGAGCAUAACGGGUGCUCUAUAGGUGAUUUUUUAGUGAACGAUUAAGUGAGCGAAUUAAUGAAAUCCAUUAUAGAGGCAGCUAAUCAGGUGGGCCUUCCCUCUGUUUUAGCUGGCAGAUUUUAAGAGUGAAACCCAGAAUAUCUCUUCCAGAAAAGCCUAAGAUGAAGCAAGGUUUGAAUAAAGUCAAGAGGGAUAGAGCUUGGUGGUGAAUAAAAGGAGACUUUUACUGCUUCUCUCAACUUCAGCUGAAAAUCUUUCCUGAGGCAACAUUGUCAAGCCCAUUACUUGGGUUAUUUCACAAGUCAUCAAAGGGUCUGCCAUUGAUCUGGGUUGUUGGGAGACUAAACAAAUGCAAUUCCCUAAUUGGCUUCUAGAUGGAAACUGCAUUCAGCCCUGAGCUGAGAGCGAUUUAUCUUGUAUGCAGGACAGUGGUGCGGAGAGGAGGAGUAAUGGGCUAGCAUCGGAAAGGGAUAGAUUGAGUUUAGGUGUUUAGAAAUAACUGUUUUGUCAGAUAAAUCAGGCAGUGGGGCGAUCUGAUUAACGAUCACAGAAUAAUCAUUUGGUGCUUUAAAAGAAGCUAGAAAUACUGAGAGAAGAGAGAAUAAGAAAUUGAGGGACAAGACGAGAAAAAGUUUUCUUAUUCUGCAUUGUUCCCACCAUCCACUUGGGGCCACCCGCAAGUAAAAGAGAAGCUGUGUUCACACACAGAUGAGUUUAAAAGGGUGAGAAAUCUCACUUGAAACUAGCAUUAAGAUGCAUCUUAUGCUUUAAAAAAUUUUUAAUUAAGGUAUAAUGCAUGCAGCAAACUUUGUAAAGUGCACUAAUUUUAAAUGUACAGCUCAAUUAAUUUUUACGUCUAAAAUCAUCAACCAGACAAGACAUAAAGCAUUUCCAGCUCCCCAGAAGAGUUCCUUUUGCCUCUUCCCAGUUAACAUCUCCCAGAAGUAGCCACUGUCCUGAAUUAUACCCUCAUACAUUAUGUAGUCUUUUGAACCUGGCUUACUGUGUUCAGCUGUGAGAACAAUGUCUGUGUGAUUUAUCCAUGUUAUUGUGUUUCUUAGCAGUUUAUUAUUUUUAAUUUCUGUGUCAUAUUCCAUUGUAUAAAUAUACGAAAUUUAUUCUCUUGCUGAUGAACAUUUGGAUUGUUUCCAAUUUUUGGCUAUUAUAAAUAUAUUUAAAAUAAAUGUUUCCAAUAAAUGUUGGAAAUAUGCUUGGAUAUUUUCUUGACUCUUUGUGGGUGGCCAGGAGGGUUGAGGAUUGGAACUUGGAACCAAAGUCUCUGAAAUAAAGUUCGAAUCAAUCAUACCCUCUGGUUCCCAGCAGCCCUCCAUAUAGCAGAAAUUAUAAUCUCUGGACAUUGCACACAGUUAAACAAUUUAUCUAACCUAGGCAGCCAAAAUGUAUUCCACUGCAAUGAUGACAAUUCAUUCCUCCUUAUACAUGAUGGGUCACAGGCAAGAAUGACACCGUAAUAGCCAACAUUUAUUAAACACACAUUAUGUCCCAAGCCUGUGCAAAACUCCACCUGGGCUACCUCACUCAUUCUUAUUUACAGAUUACAACAUAG
rnacentral:lncRNA from 10 species